GUGCUUGCUUCAGCAGCACAUAUAACUAAAAUUGGAGCAAUACAGAGAAGAUUAGCAUGGCCCCUGCUCAAGGAUUACACUCAAAUUCAUGAAGCAUUCUAUAUUUUU